GAGCGGCGGACGGGUGAGUAAUGCCUAGGAAUCUGCCUGGUAGUGGGGGAUAACGUUCGGAAACGGACGCUAAUACCGCAUACGUCCUACGGGAGAAAGCAGGGGACCUUCGGGCCUUGCGCUAUCAGAUGAGCCUAGGUCGGAUUAGCUAGUUGGUGGGGUAAUGGCUCACCAAGGCGACGAUCCGUAACUGGUCUGAGAGGAUGAUCAGUCACACUGGAACUGAGACACGGUCCAGACUCCUACGGGAGGCAGCAGUGGGGAAUAUUGGACAAUGGGCGAAAGCCUGAUCCAGCCAUGCCGCGUGUGUGAAGAAGGUCUUCGGAUUGUAAAGCACUUUAAGUUGGGAGGAAGGGCAGUAAAUUAAUACUUUGCUGUUUUGACGUUACCGACAGAAUAAGCACCGGCUAACUCUGUGCCAGCAGCCGCGGUAAUACAGAGGGUGCAAGCGUUAAUCGGAAUUACUGGGCGUAAAGCGCGCGUAGGUGGUUCGUUAAGUUGGAUGUGAAAUCCCCGGGCUCAACCUGGGAACUGCAUUCAAAACUGACGAGCUAGAGUAUGGUAGAGGGUGGUGGAAUUUCCUGUGUAGCGGUUGAA
rnacentral:rRNA from 1 species